AUUGAACGCUGGCGGCAUGCCUUACACAUGCAAGUCGAACGGUAACAGGUCUUCGGAUGCUGACGAGUGGCGAACGGGUGAGUAAUACAUCGGAACGUGCCAGAUCGUGGGGGAUAACGAAGCGAAAGCUUUGCUAAUACCGCAUAAGAUCUACGGAUGAAAGCAGGGGACCGCAAGGCUUUGCGCGAACGGAGCGGCCGAUGCCAGAUUAGGUAGUAGGUGGGAUAAAAGCUGACCAAGCCGACGAUCUGUAGCUGGGCUGAGAGGACGACAAGCCACACUGGGACUGAGACACGGCCCAGACUCCUACGGGAGGCAGCAGUGGGGAAUCUUGGACCAUGGGCGCAAGCCUGAUCCAGCCAUGCCGCGUGCAGGAUGAAGGCCUUCGGGUUGUAAACUGCUUUUGUACGGAACGAACAGACUCUGGUUAAUUCCUGGAGUUCAUGACGGUACCGUAAGAGUAAGCACCGGCUAACUACGUG
rnacentral:rRNA from 1 species